CGAAAAACCCACCCUGGGAGGAAGGUGAAGCUCGCUUCUCCCACCCCUGAGUUACUCAUCGGUCUGAAUCACACCUCCCUGGGCACACCAUGGCUCAGAGGCGGCUCCAGGUUCAUGGGAAUUCAUGUGUUUCCAUAUGGAACCCGAGAAGUCAUUAUGUGGUGCUUGAACAAGAGCAAACAGCACCUUCGAUUUGCACCACCAACUUCGUAAGUGAUAACUAAGCCCCUUAUGCUCUCAUAAGGUAUACUCUUUUUUUACUUAUCAUAAAGGAAAAAAAAAAAAAAANNNNNAAAAAAAAAAAAAAAAAAAAAAGGUAUAAAUUUUGCUCCUAGCUACACUGCAAAUCAAUUGCAAUUAGAAACUUAAAAGCACUCGUUCAAUUUCAUCUCCCAGCUGCUAAACACGGAUGCUUUAGACACCCCCCACCCCCCCAAAGCCGAGCUCUGUUUAGGAUUACAGCCGAACAGAGCAGAGGAGCCGAGCCAGGUCCCCGGCUCCAGCCCCGUGCAGAGGGUCACCCAGGAAUCAGUUUUCAUGGGUGUUCGGGAGCUGUUUGGGAAACACCACAUAAGGCAUCACACACCGGCACCUCAUUUUGCUGCACUCCGGUGGGAAAAGGGCAUUUCCUUGCACAUUGGAGCUCUGCCAUUGAUGCGGUGAAGUUUUAUGACGAGACAGUGGAGCAAAAAAAGGGAAAUUUAAGCAGUUUCAGCGGAGGAGGGCGAGGCGGCCCAGCCUCCCACGGGCACUCGUGGCGGCACAGCUCCGGUAAGUGCUUCGCACGCACUUCGAGAGAGCCACGAGGAAACACGAGGGGAGCCUGGGCAGCACCACCGCCCCGUGUGCUUGGGGCUGCCGGAGAGGAACGAGACGGUCACCUACGCCAACCCACUCCCACGGGGACCGCGGGUGGGAAAAAGGGCUCGGCGGCUGCGGGGGCUCAGCCCCCCACGCGGCUUCUCGCAGCGCCUGCCGCGACGCCCCCCCGCGUGGGUCAGCGCCGUGGAAGUCGCCUAAAAGCGCUGCCCGGGCGGAGCUGGCCACCGGCCGCCCACGCCACGCGGCAGGGGGGGACACGGACACGCGUGGCCGCUCGCCAGGCGCUGCCCGGCGGGACGGGCCCCGCACCCCGCACCCCGCCCGGCACGGGGCGCUGCCCGCGCCACCCCCCCGUCGCGGGCGGCCCGCACCGAGUGGGCAGCGCACCCCACGCGCGGGGGCCAAGCCGGUGAGGCCGCCCUGCGCUCCCGCUCGGGGGGUGGGGGGACGACCCCCACCCACGCACCCCGGCCCCCCCGGGCAAC
rnacentral:lncRNA from 1 species